CUGGUGCAGGUUUUCACAGUUUGUUUACAAAACCGCCGCUGCAGCCCUCGGCAGCAUUUUUUUUGCAGUUCUUGCGCUCAGUCAGUUUACUUACUACAAGUAAUGGGUACUAUGUACGCCGGCCAGUUUCUCUUUUCCGAGAGA
rnacentral:sRNA from 1 species